AGGGAAUCUUCCACAAUGGACGAAAGUCUGAUGGAGCAACGCCGCGUGAGCGAAGAAGGUUUUCGGAUCGUAAAGCUCUGUUGUGAGGGAAGAACAAGUACGAGAGUAACUGCUCGUACCUUGACGGUACCUCAUUAGAAAGCCACGGCUAACUACGUGCCAGCAGCCGCGGUAAUACGUAGGUGGCAAGCGUUGUCCGGAAUUAUUGGGCGUAAAGCGCGCGCAGGCGGUCCUUUAAGUCUGAUGUGAAAGCCCACGGCUCAACCGUGGAAGGUCAUUGGAAACUGGAGGACUUGAGUACAGAAGAGGAAAGCGGAAUUCCACGUGUAGCGGUGAAAUGCGUAGAGAUGUGGAGGAACACCAGUGGCGAAGGCGGCUUUCUGGUCUGUAACUGACGCUGAGGCGCGAAAGCGUGGGGAGCAAAC
rnacentral:rRNA from 1 species